CCUACGGGAGGCAGCAGUGGGGAAUAUUGCACAAUGGGGGAAACCCUGAUGCAGCGACGCCGCGUGAGUGAAGAAGUAAUUCGUUAUGUAAAGCUCUAUCAGCAGGGAAGAAAAUGACGGUACCUGAGUAAGAAGCCCCGGCUAACUACGUGCCAGCAGCCGCGGUAAUACGUAGGGGGCAAGCGUUAUCCGGAUUUACUGGGUGGAAAGGGAGCGUAGACGGCAGUGCAAGUCUGGAGUGAAAGGCGGGGGCUCAACCCCCGGACUGCUCUGGAAACUGUACGGCUGGAGUGCAGGAGAGGUAAGUGGAAUUCCUAGUGUAGCGGUGAAAUGCGUAGAUAAUAGGAGGAACACCAGUGGCGAAGGCGGCUUACUGGACUGUAACUGACGUUGAGGCUCGAAAGCGUGGGGAGCAAACAGGAUUAGAUACCCUUGUAGUC
rnacentral:rRNA from 1 species